rnacentral:rRNA from 1 species
UACGAAGGGGACUAGCGUUGUCCGGAUUUAUUGGGCGUAAAGAGCUCGUAGGCGGCUUAGUAAGUCGGGUGUGAAACCUCCAGGCUCAACCUGGAGACGCCACCCGAUACUGCUGUGGCUAGAGUCCGGUAGGGGAGCGUGGAAUUCCUGGUGUAGCGGUGAAAUGCGCAGAUAUCAGGAGGAACACCAGCGGCGAAGGCGGCGCUCUGGGCCGGUACUGACGCUGAGGAGCGAAAGCGUGGGGAGCAAACAGG